UUACGACGACAACGACGAACGUAACCUUACCGAGGCUUGACACUCCCUCGACCGCGUAUAGAAAGUACGUUUUCACCCUCGGGUGACAGGGAGACAGGUGGUGCAUGGUUGUCGUCAGCUCGUGUCGUGAGAUGUUGGGUUAAGUCCCGCAACGAGCGCAACCCUUAUCCCCAGUUGCCAUCAGGUAAAGCUGGGAACUCUGGGGAGACUGCCGGUGAUAAACGGAGGAAGGCGGGAUGACGUCAAAUCAUCAUGCCCCUUAUGACCUGGGCUACACACGUGCUACAAUGGUUGGUACAACGAGUUGCGAGUCGGUGACGGCGAGCUAAUCUCUUAAAGCCAAUCUCAGUUCGGAUCGCAGUCUGCAACUCGACUGCGUGAAGUUGGAAUCGCUAGUAAUCGUAGAUCAGCAUGCUACGGUCGAAUACGUUCCCGGGCCUU
rnacentral:rRNA from 1 species